AGAGGAGCUGUCCUUAGUACGAGAGGACCGGGAUGGACGCACCGCUGGUGUACCAGUUGUCUUGCCAAAGGCAUCGCUGGGUAGCUACGUGCGGACGGGAUAAGUGCUGAAAGCAUCUAAGCAUGAAGCCCCCCUCAAGAUGAGACUUCCCAUUCUUCGGAAGUAAGAUCCCUGAGAGACGAUCAGGUAGAUAGGUUAGAGGUGGAAGCAUGGCGACAUGUGGAGCUGACUAAUACUAAUCGAUCGAGGACUUAACCUAAG
rnacentral:rRNA from 1 species